rnacentral:tmRNA from 1 species
GGGGUAGUAAAGGUUUCGACGGGGGCUGUGAAGCUGGAGAAGCUAUCCGCAGGCUGAUGCGUUAAAUCGCAAACUUAAAUAUAAACGCUGAUAAAGAUUUUGCGCUUGCUGCAGCCUGACGGCUGUGGCUGUCUGACCUGAAGCACCUGCACUUUAGAAUCAGGCAUCGAAUUUGCAGGAAACGACACAUGCAAAGCUUUGAGCAUGUGGGCGUAAUAUGAAGCUACCGAGACCGUCAGGGUGUCUGCUUUCGGACGGCGGGGGGAAUCUCAAAGAACAGACUAUGAUAGUAGAAGGACAGGGGAUUGGCUUUCGGACACGAGUUCGACUCUCGUCUACUCCAU